GACGAACGCUGGCGGCGUGCUUAACACAUGCCAGUCGAACGGAAAGGCCCUGCUUUUGUGGGGUGCUCGAGUGGCGAACGGGUGAGUAACACGUGAGUAACCUGUCCUUGACUUUGGGAUAACUUCAGGAAAAUGGGGCUCAUACCGGAUAGGAGCUCCUGCUGCAUGUUGGGGGUUGGAAAGUUACGGCGGUUGGGGAUGGACUCGCGGCUUAUCCGCUUGUUGGUGGGGUAGUGGCUUACCAAGGUUGUGAAGGGUAGGCGGCCUGGGAGGUGUACCGGGCACAAGGGGACUGAGAGACGGCCCAGACGCCAACGGGAGGCAGCGGGGGGGAGUAUUGCACAAUGGGGGGGAGCCAGAUGCAGCGACGCCGCGUGCGGGAUGACGGCCUUCGAGUGGUAAACCGCUUUCGCCGGUGACGAGGCGUGAGUGACGGUAAUGGGUAAAGAAGCACCGGCUUACUACGUG
rnacentral:rRNA from 1 species